UGCAAGUCGAGGGGUAGAGUUCUUCGGAGCUUGAGACCGGCGCACGGGUGCGUAACGCGUAUGCAAUCUACCUUUUACAGAGGGAUAGCCCAGAGAAAUUUGGAUUAAUACCUCAUAGUAUAUCACAAUCGCAUGAUUGAGUUAUUAAAGUCACAACGGUAAAAGAUGAGCAUGCGUCCCAUUAGCUAGUUGGUAAGGUAACGGCUUACCAAGGCUACGAUGGGUAGGGGUCCUGAGAGGGAGAUCCCCCACACUGGUACUGAGACACGGACCAGACUCCUACGGGAGGCAGCAGUGAGGAAUAUUGGACAAUGGGCGCAAGCCUGAUCCAGCCAUGCCGCGUGCAGGAUGACGGUCCUAUGGAUUGUAAACUGCUUUUAUACGAGAAGAAACACUCCGACGUGUCGGAGCUUGACGGUAUCGUAAGAAUAAGGAUCGGCUAACUCCGUGCCAGCAGCCGCGGUAAUACGGAGGAUCCAAGCGUUAUCCGGAAUCAUUGGGUUUAAAGGGUCCGUAGGCGGUUUGGUAAGUCAGUGGUGAAAGCCCAUCGCUCAACGGUGGAACGGCCAUUGAUACUGCCAGACUUGAAUUAUUAGGAAGUAACUAGAAUAUGUAGUGUAGCGGUGAAAUGCUUAGAGAUUACAUGGAAUACCAAUUGCGAAGGCAGGUUACUACUAAUUGAUUGACGCUGAUGGACGAAAGCGUGGGUAGCGAACAGGAUUAGAUACCCUGGUAGUCCACGCCGUAAACGAUGGAUACUAGCUGUUGGGAGCAAUCUCAGUGGCUAAGCGAAAGUGAUAAGUAUCCCACCUGGGGAGUACGUUCGCAAGAAUGAAACUCAAAGGAAUUGACGGGGGCCCGCACAAGCGGUGGAGCAUGUGGUUUAAUUCGAUGAUACGCGAGGAACCUUACCAAGGCUUAAAUGUAGAUUGACCGGUUUGGAAACAGAUCUUUCGCAAGACAAUUUACAAGG
rnacentral:rRNA from 1 species